CGGAUGAACGCUAGCGAUAGGCUUAAACAUGCAAGUCGAGGGGCAUCACGAGGUAGGCAAUACUUUGGUGGACGACCGGCGUACGGGUGCGUAACACGUAUGCAACCUUCCUGGUAAGUGUGGGAUAGCCUCCGUGAAAGGGAGAUUAAUACCUCAUGAUAUGUAUUUGCUGCAUGGCAUUUACAUUAAACAUUUAUGGCUUACAGAUGGGCAUGCGUUCCAUUAGGCAGUUGGUGUGGUAACGGCUCACCAAACCUACGAUGGAUAGGGGUUCUGAGAGGAAGGUCCCCCACACUGGAACUGAGACACGGACCAGACUCCUACGGGAGGCAGCAGUGAGGAAUAUUGGUCAAUGGGCGAGAGCCUGAACCAGCCAUGUCGCGUGCAGGACUACGGCCCUACGGGUCUUAAACUGCUUUUGCCGGGGGAUAAAGUCGGGGGUUCGCCCCCCGUUCGCAGGUACCCGGCGAAUAAGGAUCGGCUAACUCCGUG
rnacentral:rRNA from 1 species